UGAUUGGCACUCCAACUGAAGCAGAUUUGGGGUUUGUGAGUGAAAAUGCAAAGAGAUACAUUCGACAACUUCCUUGUCAUAUUCGACAAUCAUUUACCGAAAAGUUUCCACAUGUUCACCCUGCAGCUAUUGAUCUUGUUGAAAAGAUGUUAACAUUUGACCCUAGACAGAGGAUUACAGUUGAAGAUGCAUUAGCGCACCCAUACUUGGCUUCCCUGCAUGACAUUAGCGAUGAGCCUGUCUGUUCAACUCCAUUCAGCUUUGACUUCGAGCAACAUGCACUGUCCGAGGAACAGAUGAAGGAGCUUAUAUACCUGGAGUCCCUGGCAUUCAAUCCUGAAUAUCAGCAGCAGUAAUGAGUCAUCAGAUUCUCCUCUCAUUGCCUAGUUUGGUCCCCGAAUAUUAUGAGGAAAUUGAUUCCUUAUGUAAAUAUGUUCAUUUAAAAACCUUGAUGGUUCUGGGAUUGUAUUUAUCUGACGAUGGGCAUGAAGUUUGUGGGAUUCGUGUAAUGGAAGGGUGUUUAUAUGCAUGCUUGCUUUCUAUGGCUGCUUUUCCAUUAUUAAGUUAUCAAGCUACAAGAAUUGGUUGCACAAUGUUAAGUAAUUUUCGCUCUUCUAUACA